UCGGGAAUAUUGCACAAUGGAGGAAACUCUGAUGCAGUGACGCCGCGUAUAGGAAGAAGGUUUUCGGAUUGUAAACUAUUUUAGACAGGGAAGAAAAAGACGGUACCUGUAGAAUAAGCCCCGGCUAACUAUGUGCCAGCAGCCGCGGUAAUACAUAGGGGGCAAGCGUUAUCCGGAAUUAUUGGGCGUAAAGGGUGCGUAGACGGGGAAAAUAAGUUAGUUGUGAAAUCCCUCGGCUUAACUGAGGAACUGCAACUAAAACUGUAUUUCUUGAGUGCAGGAGAGGAAAGCGGAAUUCCUAGUGUAGCGGUGAAAUGCGUAGAUAUUAGGAGGAACACCAGUGGCGAAGGCGGCUUUCUGGGACUGUAACUGACGUUGAUGCACGAAAGUGUGGGGGAGCAAACAGGAUUAGAUACCCUGGUAGU
rnacentral:rRNA from 1 species